GGAUAGCUCAGUUGGUUAGAGUAUGGUGCUGAUAAUACCAAGAAUGUAGGUUUGAUUCCUGAAAGAGACA